UACGUAGGGUGUAAGCGUUAAUCGGAAUUACUGGGCGUAAAGAGCGCGCAGGCGGUCGUUCAAGUCGCGUGUGAAAGCCCCCGGCUCAACUGGGGAGGGUCACGCGAUACUGAUCGACUGGAAGGCAGGAGAGGGUAGUGGAAUUCCCGGUGUAGUGGUGAAAUGCGUAGAUAUCGGGAGGAACACCAGUGGCGAAGGCGACUACCUGGCCUGUUCUUGACGCUGAGGCGCGAAAGCUAGGGGAGCAAACGGG
rnacentral:rRNA from 1 species